UGGGAGGUAGCACAGUGGGUAAAGCAUCUAAUGCUCAUGCAUGAGGUCCUGGGUUCAAAUCCCAGCAUCCCAU
rnacentral:tRNA from 1 species